AUGCUGUGAGUCGUAAGCCGGGCAUAUCGAAAACAAGCAGAAGUCUCUCUCUCUCUGAACACACACACACACACACACACACACACUACAAGAAGAGGCGAGGGCGAGCAGAACACAGAGGAAAGGCAAACGGAAACAAACACACAAACACAUUUCUCAAACAUCACUCACGGAAGAAAAGAAGAAAAAAGCGACUUACCUCCCAUUUGAAGUGAACGAUGUAACGAGACAAAGGCAGAGAGAGAGAGAGAGAGAGAGAGAGAGAGAGAGAGAGGGGAGGGGGGUCAGAAGGAAGCAUCAUUCGAGAGUGGGAAAACAAGUCAAUUUGCAGCAUAAUCGCUUGACUGAGUGACUAGAGAAAGGGAUAAACAGCUCAAGGGGGAAGAAGGAUGAGGUUGGGAGAUAGUAGUGCUCUCUCUCUCUCUCUCUCUCUCUCUCUCUCUCUCAAGCACAACACAUCUGCCUCCCCUUAUCUAUACGAGAGAGAGAGAGAUCCCUAUUCACUUAAUACUACUUGUUUAAGAGGUUACCGCAUGCUAUCAAUUGGUAAUUUAUCCGUUUAUUCUUUACUUCUUUAAAUUCAUCUCCGAGACCCACACCACUCAGCGCUGUUAACCUCUCCCUCCCCUCCCUUCACCUAGGCCUCCCCUGCUUCCCUCCGUAACCGUAACCCCACAGUAAAAAUCCUUCUGCUCGCGACUCGUAAACUGAAAUGGCUCGUAAACGCUUCAUAAUACGGAAAGUUGAUCUUAAACUCAAGUCACCACGAUGUCCUGCCCAAAAAUCGUGAACACUCGAGACUAGUUUGAAAUAUCACGUUAAUCCAGUGAAAUGAAUUUGUAUUGUUAAUGUGCAUAUAGCUCAUUCGAGGAUGCAUUUUAAUCGUAGUUUCACAUUCAACACCAUAACUACAAACGACGUGAGUGAAAGAAGAGAUUCUGAAACUGCUCCGCGUUCAUGCGGAGUUGAAACGUCAGAGUCUCCCCGGCGAGCCUUCAGUGGCGAGCGAGGAGCGGUGGGAGAAGGAAGGAAGGUCACGGAGGAGGAGGAAGAACACUCGAGCUGUAGUCUGGUCAGGUGGGCGUUCCCAAGGGCAAUGAGCUACUCCAAAGUGACCUCGAGCAUGGAGCAGGGAACGGGUGGUGACUUCAGCAAUGUCAGGUCUCCUCAAAAACAUCAGCAGUUGUAGGACAGUAGUAACAGCAGUAGCAGUGGUGCCAGUGGCAAGGCUCAUCAGAUGCUGUACUAGAAUCUAGACUCGAGGGCAAGAACUAUAGGUAUGUUGCAAAUCCUUAUAAGUUUUAUUGAUUCACACUGCAAGCUACAUGUGCUUCUUAGAAACAGCAGUUAUAAAUUAUGGCUGCUCUUUCAUCAGUAUUAAUGGAAAACAUAGCUGGGUCACCCGACAAUAAUGAACAAAGUAACAUUAAUAAUAUUCAUAGUAGAAUAAUGGAGAGUAAGUUAAGCGGUGUCCAUC